GGAAGCCGGUGAAAUUCCGGAACGGUCGCGCCACUGUAAUCGUGGGUCGCUCCAAGCGUCCACCGAAAGUCAGAC
rnacentral:ncRNA from 2 species